rnacentral:lncRNA from 1 species
CUUUUUCUUCUCGGUCCAAUAUUUGUUCUCGAAGGUCUUCAUUUUCGUGUAUCUGAUCUCGACUUUCUUGAUCCGGUUGAAGAGAGUGAUCACGAUGUAGGAGAGUUUGUCUACUCCAGUCUAUGACCUACCGUUUGCUUUGCUAAGUAGUACACCUAGGACAAAGAAAAUAGAGGUGGCAUAGCGAUCCCUACCAGACUGGACCC